CUGUCUCAGAUUAGCCAUGCAUGUCUCAGUAUAAGCUUCUAUACGGCGAAACUGCGAAUGGCUCAUUAAAACAGUUAUAGUUUAUUUGGUGGUCAACAAUUACAUGGAUAACCGUGGUAAUUCUAGAGCUAAUACAUGCGCCCAAACCCAACUUCUUGGAAGGGUUGUGUUUAUUAGAUACAGAACCAACCCAGGCUCCGCCUGGCCUUGAGGUGAUUCAUAAUAACCGAACGAAUCGCAUGGCUUUGCCGGCGAUAGACCAUUCAAGUUUCUGACCUAUCAGCUAUCGUCGGUAGGGUAUUGGCCUACCGUGGCAAUGACGGGUAACGGAGAAUUAGGGUUCGAUUCCGGAGAGGGAGCCUGAGAAACGGCUACCACAUCUAAGGAAGGCAGCAGGCGCGCAAAUUACCCAAUCCUGACGCAGGGAGGUAGUGACAAGAAAUAACAAUACAGGGCAUCCAUGUCUUGUAAUUGGAAUGAGUAAACUUUAAAUCACUUUA
rnacentral:rRNA from 1 species